CGUCUACUCCCGCUACCCCUUCGUCAACGCGCGAUUACGCAGGAGAAGAGGAUGCGCCGGCGUCCAUGGCGUCGAUCCUUCUUUUCGCAUCUCGUACUCAUCCUUUUCUUCCUCCCCCUCGUUCUCUUCCUCUGCCACUCCCUUCUGUGGGUCGCAUUUUUGGGCGCUGACGCCGUACCGAGGGUGAAGAGAUCAGCUGAGCUCCCACUUCGAUUCCGAUCCGAUGGCAGCUUCAAGAUCCUUCAGGUGGCUGACAUGCACUAUGGGAACGGGCUGGUGACCCGGUGUCGAGACGUAUUGCCAUCGGAGUCCUCCCGAUGCACCGAUGUCAACUCGACGGUGUUCCUAAAGAGGAUGAUCGAAGCGGAGAGGCCCGAUCUGAUUGCAUUCACAGGGGAUAACAUAUUUGGCGCCAGCGCUACGGAUGCUGCAGAAUCCCUUUUCAAAGUCUUUAGACCUGCCAUGGAAUCCAGGAUUCCCUGGGCAGCAAUCUUGGGCAAUCAUGAUCAGGAGUCAACCAUGCCAAGAGUGGAGUUGAUGUCAUUUAUCUCACUUAUGGAUUAUUCAGUGGCCCAAGUAAAUCCAUCAGGUUUUUUGGUAGAUGGAUAUGGGAAUUACGACAUCAAGGUGCAUGGAGCAUGGGAUUCUGGACUGGCUAAUACCAGCGUUCUCAAUCUCUACUUCCUUGACAGUGGUGAUCGUGCUAUGGUCGGUGGACGGAGAACUUAUGGAUGGAUAAAGGAUUCUCAAUUGACUUGGCUUCGAGCUGUUUCUGAAGAUCUACAGAGAUCAUCAAAUCUACAACAGAGCAGGUACCCGGCUCCUUCGCUAUCAUUCUUCCACAUUCCAAUUCCAGAGGUUCGAGAGCUGUGGUUUAAGGGUUUCGUAGGCCAGUUCCAAGAGGCAAUUGCUUGUUCUUCUGUCAACUCUGGGGUCCUUCAGACCCUUGUCUCCAUGGGAGAUGUAAAGGCAGUAUUCAUUGGCCAUGACCAUCUGAAUGAUUUCUGUGGAAACUUAGAUGGUAUAUGGUUCUGCUAUGGCGGUGGCUUCGGUUAUCAUGGGUAUGGAAAACCCAGUUGGCGAAGGCGAGCAAGGGUAGUUUUGGCUCAACUUGGAAAAGGGAAAGGGACAUGGAUGGGCGUUGAGGUGAUCAAGACCUGGAAGCGGUUGGAUGAUGAUAAGCUGACUAAGAUCGAUGAGCAGGUGCUUUGGAGACGAGAUCCAUGGGAGGGCCAAUGACAUUUAUGCCUCUCGGUGCCUUGCACAUCACUCUGAAAAUGUCAGCGGUCAAACCUUAAAGUCCAAAACAUAUCUAGGGUCAAGUUUGUCAACACGACUCAAGUUUGUCAACACGGCUUGAUAAUGUCAAAUCUUGUGGCUACCGAUCGAUCGCUGCGGCUGUGAAAAUUAACGCUCACAAUUUUCUGUGUGAUCGUAUGAAGUUGGUGGUGAUGAGAUCGAUCGCGGCGGAGCAAGCGAAAGAUCCGGCCACAAACAGCGCCGCCGCCGCAAGCAGAAGCGCCUUCGCCCGCAGCCCCGCUGCCAGGAUAGCCGCCCCAACGGCCGCGGCGGCGGCCGCGAGCAGCGCCUUGUUCCACCCCCGGAACGCCUUCAGGUCAUUCCUGCACUGCUUGCAGUGCACCACGUGGCGGUAGUAGCGGUUCGCCGGGUUCGGCGCGUGCCGCUCGCCGACGCCUCCCUUGGCCGGGAACGUGGCGGACAUCCCCGCGACCACGCCGACCGGAGCCUGCUCCACCACCGCCGGCUCCUUCGGCGGGGAGAUAGUCGCGUGCCCGAAGUGGUACGGCAUGCCGUGGCCGGCGCGGUCCAUCCACUUUCGGUACUCCGCCACCCACGUGUCCGACGAUCUCAGGUUUAGGUAGAGGUCUCUGGUGGGGCGGCGCUCCUUCACGAGCACCUCGUUCUGCGACGAGAGGAAGCCCAUGUCCUGCUCGAAGACGCUGCAUUGGUUCUGGUGGAUGAACCAGUCGGGGAUGAGUUUGAAGAAGCCUGGCCGGGCGCUGGCGCCGAACCGGGCAAUGAGCAUUGACUUCCCCUGCCCCGUCGGCCGGCAGAGGAACAACGCCGACAGGUACUGCUUCUCUCCCUUCUUGUCGAUUUGUUCUACAUCGUUGGAGAGGACGCAGGGGGCUUGAAAGCGGAGGAAACUCCACUGCCCGGGCCGCGUCCUUGGCCGCCCCCACCGACCGGCGAAGCCGCGGGCGGUGCGCUCGGUGACCUCGAACUCCAGCGGCUGCGCCUCCUCACGGCGGGCAGACCAGUCAGUGCGGUCGUGGGAGAUCGGCACGUGCGCCGGGUCCAUCAAGUUCUCGAGAAGGAUGGAGUGGUCGUAGGGCAGCUCAUGGACGGAGGAAAUGGCCUGAAAUCCCGGCCGGUCAUAGUGCUCGAACCAUGGCAGUUUCAAGUUCACCGGCGGGGUCUUGUCCGACAUCCAAACCCACACCACCCCCUGCGAAUCGCGCACCUCGUACGACCUCACGCACGCCGCGCGAGGGAUCUUCGCCGACUCCGGCAGCUGCGGGAUCUUCACGCACCGGCCUUCGCCGGCGAACUGCCAGCCGUGGUAGAGGCACUCCAGGCGUCCAUCCACCAAUUGCCCCUCCGACAGCUUCGCCAAUCUGCAUCAAAAAAAAAAGAAGUGUUUUGCCCCAAAUUUUAGUGCUUUAAAUCCGAAGAAAUCUGCAUCAAAAUCAAUUUUUUUUUCUUCUUUUCGCCCCAAAAUCUAGGGUUGUAGAUGAGAAGAAGCCAAGCACACCGGUGAGGGCAUCGGUCCUCGAAGCAACGGAGGACGCCGUCGCCGUCGCGGAAGAGGACGAGCUGCUUGUCGAAGACGGACAGGCCGAGCGGCGCGUCGUUGGGAACUUGCUCCGUCAAGUACAGCGGGUACCACUCCUCUCUCCAAUCGUACUCCGCCACGUCCUCCUCCACCUCAGCUUCCGCCGGAACCAGCACCUCCUCCCUCCCGACGUCCUCCGCGGCCACCGCCGCCCGACACCUUCCGCUUCUUCUACUCGUCCUCUCGAUCACAAGCUCCCUUCUCGACAUCGAAGGAAGGCGAGCGGAGGAACAUUCGAGGGAUUUGUGAAAGGAGAGAAGGCAGACGGAGGAGAAGCGCAAGAGAGCCAUCGAUCGGAGUUGUGUCGUGUCUCUCACUCUCUCCCUGUUUAAUCUUCAUCCUGCAAAAAGUAUUAUUAUUUUGCAUUUUUUUCAGUCCACAAAAAAAAUUUAUAACAAAUUUAGUAUGUUAUAAUGCAAAGGAGUUUGAUUGGAAAAAGAAAACUAAUUUGGAUUUA